UACAGAGGGGGCUAGCGUUGUUCGGAAUUACUGGGCGUAAAGGGCGCGUAGGUGGCCUGCUAAGUCGAACGUGAAAUCCCCGGGCUCAACCCGGGAACUGCGUCCGAGACUGGCAGGCUUGAAUCCGGGAGAGGGAUGUGGAAUUCCAGGUGUAGCGGUGAAAUGCGUAGAGAUCAGGAGGAACACCCGUGGCGAAGGCGGCUCUCUGGGUCCGCCCUGACGCUGAGGCGCGAAAGCGUGGGGAGCGAACGGG
rnacentral:rRNA from 1 species